AAAUUAAUUCUGGAAUUAGUCAUGCCUUAUCUGUCCCCCCUGAGUCAUGUCUUAGGGUUUGCGUUUGCAACUGGACAUAUGUUGUUUGUUUCAUGAUUCAUCUUCUCAGGUGCUUCACCUGCUUUAAUCCAUGUUAUACUGAACUUUGACUACCUGCAGUUCUUUUGUUUUUGUGUCUGAUUAAGAAGUACGGCAUGCUGGCUGUUCUUCACGGAGAGAUAUUUUAUGCUUUGACCGGGAUUGCUUCUUUGCUAUUUGUAUUUUGUCUCAGUUGUGCUUCUCUUGCAUGUAUGACAGUUUCAACUCCUGUCCUCUUGUUGACUUCUUAUAUUGCAUGUUUG
rnacentral:misc_RNA from 1 species